rnacentral:sRNA from 1 species
GCUGGGUGCAGUGGUGUAUGCCAGUAAUCCCAAUAACUUGGGAAGCUGAGGCAGGAGGAUCACAAGUCCAAAUCCAGCCUCAGCAACUUAGAGAAGCCCUAAGCAAUUCAGGGAGAUCCUGUCUCUA